rnacentral:rRNA from 1 species
GCUAAAUACUCCUGACUGACCGAUAGUGAACCAGUACCGUGAGGGAAAGGCGAAAAGAACCCCGGCGAGGGGAGUGAAAAAGAACCUGAAACCGUGUACGUACAAGCAGUGGGAGCACCUUCGGGUGUGACUGCGUACCUUUUGUAUAAUGGGUCAGCGACUUAUAUUCUGUAGCAAGGUUAACCGUAUAGGGGAGCCGCAGGGAAACCGAGUCUUAACUGGGCGUUAAGUUGCAGGGUAUAGACCCGAAACCCGGUGAUCUAGCCAUGGGCAGGUUGAAGGUUGGGUAACACUAACUGGAGGACCGAACCGACUAAUGUUGAAAAAUUAGCGGAUGACUUGUGGCUGGGGUGAAAGGCCAAUCAAACCGGGAGAUAGCUGGUUCUCCCCGAAAGCUAUUUAGGUAGCGCCUCGUGAACUCAUCUUCGGGGGUAGAGCACUGUUUCGGCUAGGGGGUCAUCCCGACUUACCAACCCGAUGCAAACUACGAAUACCGAAGAAUGUUAUCACGGGAGACACACGGCGGGUGCUAACGUCCGUCGUGAAGAGGGAAACAACCCAGACCGCCAGCUAAGGUCCCAAAGUCAUGGUUAAGUGGGAAACGAUGUGGGAAGGCACAGACAGCCAGGAUGUUGGCUUAGAAGCAGCCAUCAUUUAAAGAAAGCGUAAUAGCUCACUGGUCGAGUCGGCCUGCGCGGAAGAUGUAACGGGGCUAAACCAUGCACCGAAGCUGCGGCAGCGACACUAUGUGUUGUUGGGUAGGGGAGCGUUCUGUAAGCCUGCGAAGGUGUGCUGUGAGGCAUGCUGGAGGUAUCAGAAGUGCGAAUGCUGACAUAAGUAACGAUAAAGCGGGUGAAAAGCCCGCUCGCCGGAAGACCAAGGGUUCCUGUCCAACGUUAAUCGGGGCAGGGUGAGUCGACCCCUAAGGCGAGGCCGAAAGGCGUAGUCGAUGGGAAACAGGUUAAUAUUCCUGUACUUGGUGUUACUGCGAAGGGGGGACGGAGAAGGCUAUGUUAGCCGGGCGACGGUUGUCCCGGUUUAAGCAUGUAGGCUGAUUGUCCAGGCAAAUCCGGAUAAUCAAGGCUGAGGUGUGAUGACGAGGCACUACGGUGCUGAAGUAACAAAUGCCCUGCUUCCAGGAAAAGCCUCUAAGCAUCAGGUAACAUCAAAUCGUACCCCAAACCGACACAGGUGGUCAGGUAGAGAAUACCAAGGCGCUUGAGAGAACUCGGGUGAAGGAACUAGGCAAAAUGGUGCCGUAACUUCGGGAGAAGGCACGCUGGUGUGUAGGUGAAGUCCCUGCGGAUGGAGCUGAGACCAGUCGAAGAUACCAGCUGGCUGCAACUGUUUAUUAAAAACACAGCACUGUGCAAACACGAAAGUGGACGUAUACGGUGUGACGCCUGCCCGGUGCCGGAAGGUUAAUUGAUGGGGUUAUCCGUAAGGAGAAGCUCUUGAUCGAAGCCCCGGUAAACGGCGGCCGUAACUAUAACGGUCCUAAGGUAGCGAAAUUCCUUGUCGGGUAAGUUCCGACCUGCACGAAUGGCGUAAUGAUGGCCAGGCUGUCUCCACCCGAGACUCAGUGAAAUUGAACUCGCUGUGAAGAUGCAGUGUACCCGCGGCAAGACGGAAAGACCCCGUGAACCUUUACUAUAGCUUGACACUGAACAUUGAGCCUUGAUGUGUAGGAUAGGUGGGAGGCUUUGAAGCGUGGACGCCAGUCUGCGUGGAGCCAACCUUGAAAUACCACCCUUUAAUGUUUGAUGUUCUAACGUUGGCCCCUGACCGGGGUUGCGGACAGUGUCUGGUGGGUAGUUUGACUGGGGCGGUCUCCUCCCAAAGCGUAACGGAGGAGCACGAAGGUUAGCUAAUCCUGGUCGGACAUCAGGAGGUUAGUGCAAUGGCAUAAGCUAGCUUGACUGCGAGCGUGACGGCGCGAGCAGGUGCGAAAGCAGGUCAUAGUGAUCCGGUGGUUCUGAAUGGAAGGGCCAUCGCUCAACGGAUAAAAGGUACUCCGGGGAUAACAGGCUGAUACCGCCCAAGAGUUCAUAUCGACGGCGGUGUUUGGCACCUCGAUGUCGGCUCAUCACAUCCUGGGGCUGAAGUAGGUCCCAAGGGUAUGGCUGUUCGCCAUUUAAAGUGGUACGCGAGCUGGGUUUAGAACGUCGUGAGACAGUUCGGUCCCUAUCUGCCGUGGGCGCUGGAGAAUUGAGGGGGGCUGCUCCUAGUACGAGAGGACCGGAGUGGACGCAUCACUGGUGUUCGGGUUGUCAUGCCAAUGGCACUGCCCGGUAGCUAAAUGCGGAAGAGAUAAGUGCUGAAAGCAUCUAAGCACGAAACUUGCCCCGAGAUGAGUUCUCCCUGAGACUUUAAGUCUCCUGAAGGAACGUUAAAGACGAUGACGUUGAUAGGCCGGGUGUGUAAGCGCAGCGAUGCGUUGAGCUAACCGGUACUAAUGAACCGUGAGGCUUAACCUUACAACGCCGAAG